rnacentral:rRNA from 1 species
UAUGGUUUGCUUGGAGAAUCGUCCUACGGAUAUCCGUGGAAAAUCUACAGUUAAUACGUAUCGACUUCUUCGGAAGUGUUGCAUAUUACUGUGAACUCUCGGCGAGGGAAACCUCGUCUUUCAUGAACACUUGUAUGCGCGCAUCGUAUAUCUAUACGAGCGUCCAUCAAAGUUUCUGCCCCAUCAGGUUCCGACGGUAAGGUAUUGGCUUACCGUGCCAAUCACGGGUAACGGGGGAUUAGGGUUUAAUUCCGGAGAGGUAGCUUGAGAGUUGGCUACCACA